CCUCGUUCAAUGGCUUCUGUUUGGAUGAGUCGGUUAUCCUAUGGCACACCGCGAAUUCUCCGGAGGAAGAAUUUAAAUUGACAGAGGAAGAAGCUUGACCAAGUGGUUCCUCGUUAGUAUAGUGGUGAGUAUCCCCGCCUGUCACGCGGGAGACCGGGGUUCGAUUCCCCGACGGGGAGGUGCUAUGUUUUUUCCUUCCUUCCUUUGCUCUGUCUAUACUGUAUAUAUAAUACAGUUAACAGCAACUAUUUCGAACAUGUACAAUUCACCUACUGGUUUAUUAAUACUUGUCUCUGCUUGUAGAGUAAGUGGCGGUUUUGCACUAGCAAUGCUUACAGCAAUGGCUAAUGAUAUUAAGCUGAAUAGCAGCUUUUUAGUAGAAGUUCAUUAUUCAUACCUCAGGCGAUUACAGGAAACCUAGGGUGGCAUCAUUAAGUGAAUUCAUAUUAUAGGUUGAGAUUAGUGCUAGUGCAUUUUACUUGAUUAAAGAAGUGCCAUCCUGUUUCAUCAGGGAUGGGGGAAUUUUGCAAGACUACUAUGUUUUCAAAAUUUAUAAUGAAAAUUAAUUGUGGGUUAUUAAUUAUGAAUAGUAUUCACAAUCGUGGCAAACGGAUAGUUGAUUCCAACUGUCCACUUGGACUGUGUGGCUCACCUGUUGGAGUGGCUUGGGAUGGAACUUGAAUGUAGAGGGGGACUCUUCUUGCAUUAAUAAUAAUAAUAAUAAUAAUAAAUAAUUUUAUUAUUUAUACCCCACCCAUCUGGCUGGGUUUCCCCAGCCACUCUGGGCAGCUUACAUCAUAUCUAAAAACAUCAAUCCUUAUAAUUUUUCCUAAAAUCAUUGAUUUUUAGCACAUACAGAGAUUCCCAUGUGCCCAGCUCAUAGAUAACCACAUGGAUCUUUGGAUCAGGUCUGCUUGUUUAAAUAAAUUGUAUUCAUUUGUUUCUUAACGAAAGGUUCUACACUUGAUCUUAGCCACAAAUUACAAAUAUAAACAACAACAAAAAGGACAAACUAGUCUAUUUUUUUAUCUGUAUAGGUACAUCUGUGUGCAGGUCUGAAAAUCCAUGUUAUACUGGAGUCCUCAGCACAGAAGAAAACUCGAGGCAGCCAAAUUGAGAUGUAGGGCACUGAAGAUUUAUAUGUGGUGCUUUUGGCUUCCUUGUGUAAGAAAUAAAAUGAUACCACACACAAAAAAAAUUCUGGUAAAGAGUUGAGUCAGGUUUUGUUUGACUUUGGG